GCACAACGCGAAGAACCUUACCCACCUUUGACAUGUACGGAAGUUGCCAGAGAUGGCUUCGUGCUCGAAAGAGAGCCGUAACACAGGUGCUGCAUGGCUGUCGUCAGCUCGUGUCGUGAGAUGUUGGGUUAAGUCCCGCAACGAGCGCAACCCUUGCCAUUAGUUGCUACAUUCAGUUGAGCACUCUAAUGGGACUGCCGGUGACAAACCGGAGGAAGUGGGGAUGACGUCAAGUCCUCAUGGCCCUUAUAGGUGGGGCUACACACGUCAUACAAUGGCUGGUACAAAGGGUUGCCAACCCGCGAGGGGGAGCUAAUCCCAUAAAGCCAGUCGUAGUCCGGAUCGCAGUCUGCAACUCGACUGCGUGAAGUCGGAAUCGCUAGUAAUCGUGGAUCAGAAUGUCACGGUGAAUACGUUCCCGGGUCUUGUACACACCG
rnacentral:rRNA from 1 species